rnacentral:tRNA from 1 species
AGGAAACGCGAAGAAAGGCGUGAAUACUGUCUGAAUAUUUUUAAAGCCUUUGGCGUUUAUAACGCGUUUCCUU